AUCUGAAAAGACUAUAUAAGCCAGGCCCCCUGGCCCCUGGAGAGCAUACCUCUUCUACAGAAUCAAAGUUAGGGUUUCAAUUCUUCAUCCGAGUAGAGAGGAUCCCUCUAGUUCUUCUAGUUCUACCUCUAGUUCAUCUAGUUCUAGUUCUGGUUUAUCUAGUUCUAGUUCUAGUUCCUCUAGUUCUAGUUCUAGUUAGUUCUAGUUGUAAUCUAGAAAAUAGGGAGAGAGAAGAGGAGAGCGGAGGAGGAGGAGCCGGAUCUGUCGGAUCUUCCUCAACAUUAUACUUUUGCAGCAUCUGGUUCAUUCUUCAUCGUUCUCCAGGUUCUUCAAUUCAUAUUUCCUGAGUUCUUUAAUUACUUUUAUUUACAUUCAAGUUAUUUAUUGGAUUCCUGCUUGCAUCAAGUGCUCUAGUCUUUAUAACGCUAGAGUAGUAAUUAAUAGAUUAGACGUGGUGUUUAGUCUUGCAAUUACCUGGAAUUGCACCCAAUCCUGCGGAUUGUUGUGGUAGCCUUAGGGUAGUGACAGCCCUAACGGUCGACGUAUUCCACCACGUUCGGAUCGGUGUUUGUAGGACCGUAGUCAGACCUUCCUAGCCCCCUUCUCAUCUCUUUCUGUGGUUAGUGCUCUGAUGUCCCGAUAUAGAUAAUCUAGAAGUAAUUCUUGAUUCUUAGAUCAACUAGAGAACUCUCAGGAAACUUCCUGUCUUCCCACCAAAAAUCAUUAUAUAGUUAUCCUUGGGCGAUCUUGGAUCUUAAUUAGUACACUCACGUUCUCUGUGGAAAAUCGAUACUCUGGAAUACUCCCGGGUGAAAGCUACAUCGGUAUCCGUGCGCUUGCGGAUUUUUCUGUUUGCGUUUAAAAUACCCAACAAGCUUUCUGGCGCCGUUGCCGGGGAACGGUAGCUGUGCUAGUUUCGAACCAAGUCGUCCGUGUAUCCUUUUUCUUUUCUUUUUUUACCACACUCACCUUAUCAUUUUCACCAUACCACAUGGAUUUCACUCUAAGCAUUAAUGAGCAUGGAAUUUAUUUCAUAGCCACUUCAUUUACUCCAUGCUCAUAUGCAACAUCUUCACAAUCCAUUGGUCUCUCCAACAUCACCACAUUCGAGAUCUCCAACCCCCACUUCCUUUCUAUUUAUAAAAACUUUAAAAGGGCGGUUGUCGAUGCAUAUGUCUAUAUUAAAUAUUGCAGAUCUCACUGAGUUGAUCUUGAUAUAGGUCAGCGUUGGAGGGGAAACCACUUCACUGGCAUAAAUUGAUGGUUUCCCAAGGACAAGCUUAGUGUCCUAAAAUAAGCGCUGAUCAGAUCGUAACAUGAGCUUUUAAUUAUUUGCAACAUUACCUUGUGUAUUGAGCAUAUAAGGAUAAUUGUAAAAAAAUUCCUUCGUGUAUUCUUGUCACUAACCUUUCCAGGAUUGGAGCAAGAAGAUCGGAUGAAUGACAAGUACAAGGUAUGUCCAACCAAUCAUCAUACAACAUUGAAUUAAAUUCAUCCAAACUUGAAUUUUGCAAAAUUCAAGCUUGGGGAGUACUUUACAUAAAAACAUGCUUUGCCUUGUUGCUAUGUUGGUUGUCCCUACCUUUGAGACAUGCUCAAUUUGUUAAAUACUAAUCACACUACUUCAUCUCCACUUGAGUAGAACUCUAUAAAUGCUCUCAUGCUACCUUUAUUUGCUUUAGUAUAUGUCUAGGUUUGGAGUAGUUUCAUUUAUCUCUUAAUUAAGCAGGGUGCUUAGUUUAGGGCUGAUGAUCUUACUUCCAAGGGAGCUUAAAUUAAGCAUGAUGCUUAGGUUAAAAUGCCCUCCUAGUAGAUAUUGGAUAUUUUGUUGGACUAACCCCUGCAGGAAAACUUUCAAUAUCGACCUAGGAAGUCCUGAGAUAAACUCACAUUGGAGACAAAGAGAGAGACGAUGAAGGUUAACAAUUUACACAAGGAAGGCAUAGCUCACAAGAGAUGAUCCAUGGAGGGUGCCACAAACACGAUGCACAACUGCUAAGAAAGGAAAGCUUCCACAAGGUGAUACUGUACCAUCACUCUUCAAGUAAGGUAACAUCUUAAGGUACUUGGCUAUCACUUUUUAUAAGUUUUUCCUUGGUUCUGGCGUUCACAUGAAUAAAAGAGACCAACAUGAAUGAUUUACAACUCUAGAUUAACCAACCCAGUCGAUUCAAUAUGUUUAGUCCUUCCACCUUUGUGAUCCCACACUCCUAAUCAUAUAAGCAAAAAGGUUGCACAUUCUAUCUCUAGAAGAUAUAAACAAAACAUAAGUAUAUAUAUUUUAUCUUUCCAUUAGGUUGAGCGAUCUGAUCUGACAAAUGUUUUAAAUACUACACUCAUGAUCUUAUUAUCCAUCAACUUUGUCUUGCUCACUAUGAUUAAGGUUAGAGAAGAACAAAUACACUUUUGGUUCUGUUGGUGUUUUCCACCAACGGGGCCCAUGCACUUGAUCUCUACCUUUUCUCUAUGAGUAGGUACACUUCGAGCCAAAUAUGAAGGACUUUUACAACUCUUAGACUCUACCAAGUGAAGAACCUAGAUCUACGAGCACAAACAUAUUGGAGAUACUGGACACUCAGGCAAUCACUACCCUAAGAUGCUUGAGGACGUAAACUACAUCAACAACAACUACUACUACUACAACCGUCCUCAACAAAAUCAAGGUUGGAAUCAACAGAGGCCUAACUACUCACAGAGGCGAUCCAGGACGCCCUGUCAUCCCGAUCUCCAUCAGCAUGGUGGACUUCCCAGAAGCACUCUGCGACUUUGGCUCUAGUGUCAACAUUAUGCCCAGGGUACUCUAUGAAAAAUUCUUUACACAUCCUUUAUUAGAAACAACCAUGUGUUUGCAGCUUGCAGAUCGUACGCUAAGUUUCCCAAAGGGAAAUAUUGAAGAACCUCUACGUCUGAGUUGGUACCUUAUACGCUCCAGCAGACUUCGUGGUGAUAGAGACUGAUACUGAUGAGAGGGCACCCAUCAUCUUAGGGAGGCCAUUCCUAAACACCUCAGGACCUGUCAUCUACGCUAGUGCUGCCAAGAUCAGUUUCUACAUCAAGGGGAGGAAUGAGACGUUUUCCUUCAAGAACAAGACUACACAAAUCUCAGAGCAAUCCCGACAUGAACCAAGGAAGAGGACCAACAAGAGGAACAAGAACAAGCAAAUGUGGACCAAGUCAGCAAAGAUGGUCAUUGCAGUUCAAGGAGGUCAAGAUCGUCGACUUAUGUCACCGUCUCUGAUCAAGAAGGAACGACCCUGGUGUUCCAAGCAUCGAGUGCACAAUCAACGGAUAUUCUUUUCAGAAGACAGUCUACGACACCGGAUCUGACGUCAACAUAAUGGCCGCAGUCACUUAUCAGCUCCUGCAUAAAACCAUGCCCCUACAACCAACAUACAUUCAGCUCCAGAUGAUUUGAAGGUUAUUGACAUGGGAGAAGACGAAUACAAUCCACCCAUCAUCCUUAGGAGACUGUUCCUCAGCACCGUUAAAGCAAUCAUCUACAUUGGAACCGGAGAAGUCCACAUGCACUUCGCCUCUGAGAAGACGACGCAACCGCAACCAGAGAAGGCAAAUCAUCAAGGACAGAUGGGCGGACUACGAAGGAGAAGUGGUAAUGUCUGAAGACAUACAGCUUGAACAGAACUGUGCUGAGGAGACCAUAGCACCGAGUCAGGUGUGUAGAGAGAAGAUAGUUAUACAUGAAGACCAGGCGCCGCCAGAACCACCGACUACGCCAUCCAGCGAAUCUCAGGACGAAUGAGAAAACGAAGAGUCCCGUUGGGAGGACUUAAAAACACAGAAUGCCUUGCCAAGAGGUAAACUUGGUAGUUAUCUUUUCCUUUAAAAUAGUUUGCUUAGUUAAUCAGGUUUAUAUCAUCUUGAAAAGAAAAUAAAAAUGUUAAAAAUAGUAAGCCCCAUGUGAGUAUGCUCAUGGCAUAAAACCCAUAAGUACAUUCACUAUGGUGGCAUAAAAAUAAAAUAAAUAUAUUCCUGUCCUAUAAUAAUAAAAAUAUAAAAAUAAAUUUAUGAUCCUACUAAAGAGAGUAACAUUUAUUGAGGAGACUCAACAUGAUAAAGGCUAAAUAUUUAUGCUAACACUUAACUAGUUCCACAAAGCUUUGUUGUCUAUUUGAGCUCCAAAGAAUUCAAGGAUCAAAGAAAGUCUAGCAGACGGAGGACAUCCUAAUCGCUGUCAGAGUGUUGCCGACAUUCAAAUACACCUCCGCCACCUGCUAGCUACAUCAGAAGAAAUUAUGUCAAAAUCCAGCUUGGGGGAGAGCACCCCCAUUUAUCCAGCUAAGUGUUCUACUCACGUUUAUACUUUACUCGAAUAAUAAAAAGAUGCAUAAUCAUAAAAACACAAAUAAAGAUUUUGUGCUUAUAUAUAUAUAUCUUUGCUUAGCUUGCUAAAUAAAUAAAUAAAUAAAGUUUGCUAUUGUUGACGGUCCUUAAGUAUCAAAUUUAAUAAUCAAAUAAACAAAGAAAAGGAUCCAAAUGAAAUCAACAUCUAGACUUAGGGUUUUAUCUGACAGAAUAAAAGAUUUUGAGUUAUCAUUUGCAUCACUAAUCUGAUGAGCUUAUCUAUUCUCUCAUACAGUUUUACCCCGAUAUUUUUCUAUUUUAUCUUAUGCAGGGGAAUGUAUGAAUAGAAGACAUCUUCCAGGAAAUUUUGUUGACAAUCCCAAAGAAUUAUUCAAGAAGACAAGAGCCAAGCUCAAGAAGAGAUCAUCAACACUUCAGCAAGAAGCUUCAUCCAAUCAAGAAGAUCACCGGAACUUGUCUUCAGAGUUCGAAGCCAUGGCGAACAAACCAAUCCGCGAGUUCUCAGCUCCCACUACGGACAACAUCCGCACUGGACCUCCUGCAGAGAUCGAUGGCAACUUUGAGCUCAAGCCUGGACUUAUCAACAUGGUGCAAUCCAACCAGUUCUGUGGGAAGGCACACGAAGAUGCUAGUGCUCAUCUACAACACUUCCUGGAGAUUUGCAACACAUUUACCAUAUCAGGAGUUUCCAAAGAUGCUAUACUACUUCGCCUCUUCCCAUUCUCACUGUUAGGAAGAGCGAAGCAGUGGUUCUACGCUACAAAGGAGAAGAAUACUACGUGGGUGUUGACGGUCCUUAAAUAUCAAAUUUAAUUAUCAAAUAAAUAAAGAAAAGGAUCCAAAUGAAAUAAAGAUCUAGACUUAGGGUUUUAUCUGACAGAAUUCCACGAGUUUUGGUGUUUGUCUAUUUCUGCAGGGGGUUAUCAGGAAAUAUGGAAGAAAGGCCCACAUGUCAGGAUUACGUAAAGAUAUUAACGUGCUGUGCAAUUAUCUUACAUCUAUAAGACUCCAGAAGCCACGAGACCGAAGCGGAGGCGAAUCGGGGCCAGAGACAGGGCGCCCGCCCUGUCCAACUGGGCGCCCGCCCUGCCCCUAAGUCCAAUCAGGACUCUGCUUUGCGGGAAGUCUCCACCGACCUAAAGGAUGAAUCUAAACCAUACAAUCUAUGUCGGUUUGAUCCAAGGGCCCAUAUUCACUUGAAGGGACUAUAAAACCAGACCCCCUGGCCCCUGGAGGAGAGAGCCUCUCAACCCUAAUUCAUUGUUCCAUCAAGGGAGAAGAAGCCUCUGAUCAAGAUUAGAGCCACCACAUCAAUUAGAUAUCUAGAUUAGCAUAGCUACAUAGGAUUAGAACUUGAAGGAGUCAAUCUUCGAUUGGUUUCCGGAUCUGUCAGGAGGAUUCUUGGUAAUUCUCUAAUUGUGCUUCUAAUUGCUUUCUAAUUAUCUUUGUUCUUCAAUAUUAUGAAUAUGACUUUGUUCUACUUCAAUAUAUUGCUUAUGACUUUGCUCUAUUUGCUUAUAUUCAAGAUUAUAUUGUUCUUAGUUUAUCAUAGUUAUGUACUUGGCUUAGUUAGAUAUGAUCUAUAUACAUGCUUAGGAUCGUAUAGCGUUUAUCCAUCGGAUCCAUGGGUAAAUGAUAGAUAUUGUGUAGGCGUGGUGCUUAUACCGUAUUUAUCUGCGAUUGUACCCAAUAUGCCAGAUCGUGGGGUAGUUCGUGAUAGUGACAGCUUCAUUGAUUCUUAUAUAGUCCCCCUCUCGUGUAUUGGGCUGGCAGAGCAACAUUAUUACAGGGGAGUGAUUGCUAUGUUUCUCAUAUUCCUUGCUAAUAUCACUAUGCAUGGGCGUAGUCUUGUCUCGCAAUGAUUGCUAAGUAUGCUUGCACUAACUAUGAUAUGCUAGACUAUAUAGUUAAGAAUAACUUAGGGAAUAUUCUUGUAGUUCGUUCUAAUACCAUGCUAAUGACUUUCUAGAGUAUCUAAUUGAGGUGCUUAUCAUAUUUAUUAUGUGGCUAGAUCAGAUUAGUUAUCCUUGUCACUAUUAUCAUUUCAUAUAUCUAUUAUGUGACACUUAUCCCUGUAUGAAGAGUUAGAUAUAAUGUUCUCAAUUAUACAUGCAAUGGUAGAUGCUCAAUCUCAUAUUCUAUUCUGUAAUCAAUAGUGAUGAUUGAUUAAUCCCUUCCCAGUGGUAAAAAUAUAAAUAACGAUACCUGGAAUACUUCCCGGUUAAAAUGCUACAUCGGUAUUAAUCUGUGCGCUUGCAGAUCCCAUUCAUUAUUUAUUUAGAAGAGCAAUUGCAUAUUUCAAUACCGCGUCUCUCAUGUCAUGCUGGGGAUGACAACUUGGCUUAAGUGGUGUGAGGGAUAGGUUUGGCAUUUUUGGCACCGUUGCUAGAUUUAGAACUUAGUCUACUUUUGGUAAUGAUGUUAAGAAUACCCAACAAGCAUUUUUUGGCGCCGUUGCCGGGGAAGGUUGAUUACCAAUCAGAAAUAGAAUAAAAGAUUUAGAGUAAUCAUUCGCAUCACUAAUAUGAUUGAGCUUAUCUAUUCUCUCAUACAGUUUUACCCCGAUAUUUUUCUAUUUUAUCUUAUGCAGGGGAAUGUAUGAAUAGAAGACAUCUUCCAGGAAAUUUUGUUGACAAUCCUGAAGCAUUAUUCAAGAAGACGAGGGCCAAGCUAAAGAAAUCAUCAACACUUCACGAAGAAGCUUCAUCCAAUCAAGAUGAUCACCAGAACUUGUCUUCAGAGUUCGAAGCCAUGGCGAACAAAUCGAUCCGCGAGUUCUCAGCUCCCACUACGGACAACAUCCGCACUGGACCUGCUGCAGAGAUCGAUGGCAACUUUGAGCUCAAGCCUGGACUUAUCAACAUGGUGCAAUCCAACCAGUUCUGUGGGAAGGCACACGAAGAUGCUAGUGCUCAUUUACAACACUUCCUGGAGAUUUGCAACACAUUCACCAUAGCAGGAGUUUCCAAAGACGCUAUACUACUUCGCCUCUUCCCAUUCUCACUGUUAGGAAGAGCGAAGCAGUGGUUCUACGCUACAAAGGAGAAGAAUACUACGUGGGCACUCUGCUCAACAAACUUCCUGGCAAAGUUCUUUCCCAUGGGCAAGACCAAUGCUCUCCGUGGGAAGAUUACAAGUUUUCAGCAACAAAAUGAUGAAUCUGUUCCAGAAGCAUGGGAGCGCUUUCAAGACUACAUCCUAGAAUGUCCCCAUCAUGGAAUGGAGAGUUGGCUAUUGAUGCAGACAUUCUAUCAUGGGCUCAGCAAUAGUGCCCGAGAGACCAUGGAUGCUGCAGCUGGAGGAGCAUUCUUAUCACUUACUAUACCACAAGCCACAGCUCUUGUGGAGAAGAUGGCGUCCAAUCAAAGCUGGAAUGAAGAGAGGACCCAGACACGCAAGAGAGGUGGAGGUAUGCAUCAGCUGAAGGAGGUAGACAUGCUGUCUGCAAAGCUAGACCUGCUCAUGAAGAAGCUGGAUGAUAAAGCUGGAGACAAGAAAGAAGUUAUGCACAUCUACGACUCUCACAUGACUUGUGAGGAGUGUGGAGACACUGGACACUCAGGCAACCACUGCCCUGAGAUGCUUGAGGAUGUGAACUACAUCAACAACAACAACUACUACAACCGUCCUCAACAAAAUCAAGGUUGGAAUCAACAGAGGCCUAACUACUCAGGUAAUUAUCAAGGUAACAAUUCUUACAACAAUAAUAAUAAUUUUCCACCUUUGAGAGAGUUAUUGUCUAAUCAAGGAAAGCUAAUGGAUAACCUAUCUAAGAAAUUGGCAUCUAAUGAUAAAAUGCUAGAAAAUAUAAAUAAUAGAAUGGAUAAUUUCUCUACUGCCAUCAAGAAUCAAAUUAGCUUUAAUAAAAUGAUUGAAUCUCAGUUAAAUCAAAUAGCUGCUGUUGUUCCUACUACUAACCCCGGUAUACCAUCACAACCGGAAGGAUUAGAAUCUGCAAAUCUUGUAGACAUAUUUGAUGUAGGUAAUUGGAGUAACCCCGUCAAUGAAUUCUCUACUGACCUUCUGCCGGUCAAGAGAGGCGAUCCAGGACGCCCCGUCAUCCCGAUCUCCAUCGACAUGGUGGACGUCCCAGAAGCACUCUGCGACUUUGGCUCCAGUGUCAACAUUAUACCCAGGGUACUCUAUGAUAAAUUCUUUACAUAUUCUUUAUUAGAGACAACCAUGUGUUUGCAGUUUGCAGAUCAGACGAUAACUUUUCCAAAAGGAAUAGUGAGGAACCUUUGUGUCCGAGUUGGUACCUUGUAUGCACCAGCAGACUUCGUAGUGGUAGAGACCGGAAAUGAUGAGAGAGCACCUAUCAUCCUAGGGAGGCCAUUUUUGAACACCACGGGAGCUAUCAUCUACGCCAGUGCUGCUAAGAUCAGUUUCUACGUCAAAGGGAAGAAGGAAACAUUUUUCUUCAAAAACAAGACUACACAAAUUCCAAAUCAAUCCAGACGUCAAUCAAGGAAGAGGACCAACAGGAGGAACAGGAACAAGCAAGUGUGGACCGAGUCAGCUCAGAUGGUCACUGUAGUCCAUGGAGGCCAAGAUCACCAACCUAAGUCACCGUGCUUGACCAAGAAGGACGACCCAGGAAUGCCAAGCAUUUACUGCUCCAUAAAUGGAUACAACUUCUACAAGACAAUUUGUGACACCGGAUCGGGCAUCAACAUAAUGGCCGCAGUCACCUAUCGGCUCUUGUUCGGGACCAUGCCACUAAGACCAACAUACAUUCAGCUCCAGAUGGCAGAUCAGACAUUUCGAGAAGUUCAAGGAAUAGUAUCUGAUGUCCCAGUCAAAAUAGACAAUCACUUUGUCUACACAGACUUUCAAGUUAUUGACAUGGGAGAAGACGAGUAUGAUCCACCCAUCAUCCUUGGAAGGCCGUUCCUCAGCACCGUUAAAGCAAUUAUCUACAUUGGAACCGGAGAAGUCCAUAUGCACUUCCCCUCAGAGAAGGUACGCCGUUAUUUUACUGACCCUAACUAUAUCGUUGAAGAAUCUAAGCAGGUCAGAAAGAGACGCAACCGCAACCAGAGGAGGCAGAUCAUCAAGGACGGAUGGGCAGACUAUGAAGGAGAAGUUGUAAGGUCAGAAGACGUAGAGUUUAAACAGAAUUAUCCAGAGGAGAUUGAAGCACCGAGUCAGGUAUGGAAAAUGAAGAUAACUAUACAAGAAGAGGAGGCGCUGCCGGAAGUACCGACUACGCCACCCAACGAACCUCAGGACGAUUAAGAAAUUGGAGAGUCCCGUUCGGAGGACUUAAAAACACCGAACGCCUUGCCAAGAGGUAAACUUGGUAGUUACCCUUUCCCUUUCAGUUAUUUUAAAUAGUUUACUUAGUUAAACAUGCUCAUACUGUCUUAAAAAGAAAAUAAAAAUGUAAAAAAUAGUAAGCCCCAUGUGAAUAGACGAGUGGCAUAAAACCCAUACGUACAUUCACUGUGGUGGCAUAAAAAUAAAAUAAAUAUUUUUCUGCUUUAUAAAAUAAAAAUAUAAAAACAUGGAGUAAUAAUUAUUAAGGAGUCUCAAGAUGAUAAAGGCUAGAUAUUUGUGCUAACACUUAAUCAGUUCCACAAGCUUUGUUGUCUAUUUGAGCUCCACAGAAUUUAAGAAUCAAGAAGACUAGCAGACGGAGGACAUUCUAAUCGCUGUCGGAAUGCUGCUUUCAAAUACACCUCUGCCACCUGCUAGCUACAUCAAGAGAAAUUACGUCAAAAUUCAGCUUGGGGGAGAGCACCCCCAUUUAUCUCGAUAAGUAUUUCUAUCUAUCUAUCUUUAUAUUUAUAUUAUUUAGAAUAUUAAUACACAUAAACUAUGGGAAAACCAAAUAAAGAUUUUAUGCUUAUAUAUAUAUAUUACUUAGUGUGUUUAAUUAACAAAUAAAGUGGCUAUGCUAAUCUGUAUCUAAUAAAACUUAAGCAUGGAUAUGAUGAAUAGUUGCUCUGCCUAAUUUGCACAUUUUAAGUUCUCUCUCAAGUUUAGACAUAACUGUUAUAAUUUAAAGCUUGCCCUAGACCUAAACUUGUGGGAUGAAAACUUGAUCUGAAGUCUAAGUUGUUAACGGAUACGAUAUAGGAAGGUUGAGCUGCUGUUUAUCUGUUCCUUGAGAUGCUAGAAUUCUGGAGAAUUUAUCUUUGAAAAUCUUUAAAAUGUUGCAUGAUGAGUUCCUGUAUGAUGAGAGCUUAAAUUCCUACCACAGCCAUAUAUACAUGCUUGCUAGACUUUGAGCCACACAUUUACUAUUUACUGCUUAUGAGCAUUGAGUAUGGUCAAGCUGUGUAGACCCUUAGGAGCUUGUCAUGUGGUUAAAUCAAGAUUUCACUUGCACGUUCACUCAUAUAUGCUACUUCUUCUCCGGAAGUACCAUCCACAUACAUCCACUCAUUUCCAUCUCCAGAACCACCUAAAAAUAUUCUACUCCUAAUCCGGGAGAGAAUAACCAAAAAUAUUUCUGUUUUCCCCUUGUGAAAUAAAUGCUCAAGUUAUCUUGUUACUACCACUUGCUAUAUUAUCUCAAGAGAUGAAUGCUCUAAAAAAAAGAGAGAGAGAAAAAUAAUACGAGGAAAUAAAAAGGAGCAAGUGCUCGGAACCUCGAAAGAAAAGAAAAAGUGAGACGAGAGGUAAAAAUGGACAAGUGUCCGACAGUAGAAUUAGGGGUGCAAGAUACCCACCUGAGAGAAAAGAAAAAGAAGAGCAUCUCAUUCUUCUCAUAAAGUUUCAAAAGCAAGGAAGGUAUGUAUCCCCUCAGAAGAGCAAAGUAGAAUUAGACUUUCACCACCAUUGUUUCCACCAUUGUUUUCACCAUUGUUGUCACCAUCAUCACCAUAUACCAUUCAUUCGCCACACAUGCACAUCUUGAUUAAACUUAUUGACUUGUUACUUUGGAUCCAUGGUUUGACUAUGCAAUACAUGUCUUGUAAGUAUGUAUAUCUUAUCUCCCAACUAUGAGCUCCAGAUAUUAAAGCCUUAUUAGAGUAGGAUGAGAGAGAAGGCAAUGUUACUAUGCCUCAUACCACAAAUACCACAUAUCUUGAGAGAAGGCAUAUACCAUCAAUGCCUUGGUAAGGAUCCAAAAAUACCACAAAAGAGAGACCUGAGAGAAUCAUACAAGGAAUUCUGAGUUUUAUUUGAAAAUCUGCAAAAAUCCCAGAGCUAUAGCUGAUCAAGAAUAAGAGACAUGGCACUUGGCUAGACUGUUCUAUCUUUUAACCACUCAAGACAGAAGUGACAGUUACAAGUCCCAUGGUGAAGGUAAAGUAAGUAAGUUUUAAGUCUUGACAGUUUACUCUAACUCAGAGAUGAGAUCUUAUUUAAGAGCAUGUGUACCGUCAAAUUUUUAAAGAUAUUGCAGCAACUUCUGAUCCAUAGCUGAGUCUAUCCUUGCUCAGGGACGAGCAAGAGGUAAGCUUGGGGGAGUUUGUUGACGGUCCUUAAGUAUCAAAUUUAAUUAUCAAAAAAAUAAAGAAAAGGAUCCAAAUGAAAUAAAGAUCUAGACUUAGGGUUUUAUCUGACAGAAUUCCACGAGUUUUGGUGUUUGUCUAUUUCUGCAGGGGGUUAUCAGGAAAUAUGGAAGAAAGGCCCACAUGUCAGGAUUACGUAAAGAUAUUAACAUGCUGUGCAAUUAUCUUACAUCUAGAAGACUCCAGAAGCCACGAGACCGAAGCGGAGGCGAAUCGGGGCCAGAGACAGGGCGCCCGCCCUGUCCAACUGGGCACCCGCCCUGCCCCUAAGUCCAAUCAGGACUCUGCUUUGCGGGAAGUCUCCACCGACCUAAAGGAUGAAUCUAAACCAUACAAUCUAUGUCGGUUUGAUCCAAGGGCCCAUAUUCACUUGAAGGGACUAUAAAACCAGACCCCCUGGCCCCUGGAGGGGAGAGCCUCUCAACCCUAAUUCAUUGUUCCAUCAAGGGAGAAGAAGCCUCUGAUCAAGAUUAGAGCCACCACAUCAAUUAGAUAUCUAGAUUAGCAUAGCUACAUAGGAUUAGAACUAGAAGGAGUCAAUCUUCGAUUGGUUUCCGGAUCUGUCAGGAGGAUUCUUGGUAAUUCUCUAAUUGUGCUUCUAAUUGCUUUCUAAUUAUCUUUGUUCUUCAAUAUUAUGAAUAUGACUUUGUUCUACUUCAAUAUAUUGCUUAUGACUUUGCUCUAUUUGCUUAUAUUCAAGAUUAUAUUGUUCUUAGUUUAUCAUAGUUAUGUACUUGGCUUAGUUAGAUACGAUCUAUAUACAUGCUUAGGAUCGUAUAGCGUUUAUCCAUCGGAUCCAUGGGUAAAAGAUAGAUAUUGUGUAGGCGUGGUGCUUAUACCGUAUUUAUCUGCGAUUGUACCCAAUAUGCCAGAUCGUGGGGUAGUUCGUGAUAGUGACAGCUUCAUUGAUUCUUAUAUAGUCCCCCUCUCGUGUAUUGGGCUGGCAGAGCAACAUUAUUACAGGGGAGUGAUUGCUAUGUUUCUCAUAUUCCUUGCUAAUAUCACUAUGCAUGGGCGUAGUCUUGUCUCGCAAUGAUUGCUAAGUAUGCUUGCACUAACUAUGAUAUGCUAGACUAUAUAGUUAAGAAUAACUUAGGGAAUAUUCUUGUAGUUCGUUCUAAUACCAUGCUAAUGACUUUCUAGAGUAUCUAAUUGAGGUGCUUAUCAUAUUUAUUAUGUGGCUAGAUCAGAUUAGUUAUCCUUGUCACUAUUAUCAUUUCAUAUAUCUAUUAUGUGACACUUAUCCCUGUAUGAAGAGUUAGAUAUAAUGUUCUCAAUUAUACAUGCAAUGAUAGAUGCUCAAUCUCAUAUUCUAUUCUGUAAUCAAUAGUGAUGAUUGAUUAAUCCCUUCCCAGUGGUAAAAAUAUAAAUAACGAUACCUGGAAUACUUCCCGGUUAAAAUGCUACAUCGGUAUUAAUCUGUGCGCUUGCAGAUCCCAUUCAUUAUUUAUUUAGAAGAGCAAUUGCAUAUUUCAAUACCGCGUCUCUCAUGUCAUGCUGGGGAUGACAACUUGGCUUAAGUGGUGUGAGGGAUAGGUUUGGCAUUUUUGGCACCGUUGCUAGAUUUAGAACUUAGUCUACUUUUGGUAAUGAUGUUAAGAAUACCCAACAGUGGGCACUCUGCUCAACAAACUUCCUGGCUAAGUUCUUUCCCAUGGGCAAGACCAAUGCUCUCCGUGGGAAGAUUACAUGUUUUCAGCAACAAAAUGAUGAAUCUGUUCCAGAAGCAUGGGAGCGCUUUCAAGACUACAUCCUAGAAUGUCCCCAUCAUGGAAUGGAGAGUUGGCUAUUGAUGCAGACAUUUUAUCAUGGGCUUGGCAACAGUGCCUGAGAAACCAUGGAUGCUGCAGCUGGAGGAGCAUUCUUAUCACUUACUAUACCACAAGCCAUAGCUCUUGUGGAGAAGAUGGCGUCCAACCAAAGCUGGAAUGAAGAGAGGACCCAGACACGCAAGAGAGGUGGAGGUAUGCAUCAGCUGAAGGAGGUAGACAUGCUGUCUGCUAAGCUAGACCUGCUCAUAAAGAAGCUCGACGAUAGAGCUGGAGAUAAGAAGGAAGUGAUGCACAUCUACGACUCUCACAUGACAUGUGAGGAGAGUGGAGACACUGGACACUCAGGCAACCACUGUCCUGAGAUGCUUGAGGAUGUGAACUACAUCAACAACAACAACUACAACUACUACAACCGUCCUCAACAAAAUCAUGGUUGGAAUCAACAGAGGCCUAACUACUCAGAGAGGAGAUCCAGGACGCCCCAUCAUCCCGAUCUCCAUCGGCAUGGUGGACGUCCCAGAAGCACUCUGUGACUUUGGCUCCAGCGUCAACAUUAUACCCAGGGUACUCUAUGAAAAAUUCUUUACAUAUCCUUUAUUAGAGACAACCAUGUGUUUGCAAUUUGCAGAUCAGACGAUAACUUUUCCAAAGGGAAUAUUGAAGAACCUUUGUGUCCGAGUUGGUACCUUGUAUGCCCCAGCAGACUUCGUAGUGGUAGAGACCGAAAAUGAUGAGAGGGCACCUAUCAUCUUAGGGAGGCCAUUCUUGAACACCACGGGAGCUAUCAUCUAUGCCAGUGCUACCAAGAUAAGUUUCUACAUCAAAGGGAGGAAGGAGACAUUUUUCUUCAGGAACAAGACUACACAAAUCCCAGAUCAAUCCAGACGUGAAUCAAGGAAGAGGACCAACAGGAGGAACAAGAACAAGAAAGUGUGGACCGAGUCAGCUAAGAUGGUCUCUGCAGUUCAUGGAGGCCAAGAUCAUCAAUUUAAGUCACCGUUUUUGACCAAGAAGGACGACCCAGGAAUGCCAAGCAUCUAUUGCUCCAUAAAUGGAUACAACUUCUACAAGACGUUUUGCGACACUGGAUCGGGCGUCAACAUAAUGGCCACAGUCACCUAUCGGCUCUUGUUCGGAACCAUACCACUAAAACCAACAUACAUUCAGCUCCAGAUGGCAGAUCAGAUGUUUCGAGUGGUUAAAGGAACAGUAACUGAUGUCCCUAUCAAAAUAGACGAUCAUUUUGUCUACACAGACUUUCAGGUUAUUGACAUGGGAGAAGAUGAAUACGAUCCACCCAUCAUCCUUGGAAGACCGUUCCUCAGCACCAUUAAAGCAAUCAUCUACAUUGGAACCGGAGAAGUCCAUAUGCACUUCCCCUCAGAGAAGGUACGACGUUAUUUUACUGACCCUAACUAUAUCGUUGAAGAAUCUAAGCAGGUAAGGAAACGACGCAACCGCAACCAGAGGAUGCAAAUCAUCAAGGAUGGAUGGGCAGACUACGAAGGAGAAGUUAUAAGGUCAGAAGACGUAGAGUUUAAACAGAAUUAUCCAGAGGAGACCGUAGCACCGAGUCAGGUAUGGAAAGAGAAGAUAACUAUACAUGAAGAGGAGGCGCCGCCGGAAGUACCGACUACGCCACUCAACGAAUCCCAGGACAAUUAAGAAAAUGGAGAGUCCCGUUCGGAGGAUUUUAAAACACCGAACGCCUUGCCAAGAGGUAAACUUGGUAGUUAUCCUUUCCCUUUCAAUUAUUUUAAACAGUUUGCUUAGUUAAUCAUGUUCACGUUAUCCUAAAAAGAAAAUAAAAAUGUGAAAAACAGUAAGCCCCAUGUGAAUAUACGAGUGGCAUGAAACCCAUAAGUACAUUCACUGUGGUGGCAUAAAAAUAAAAUAAAUAUUUUUCUGCUCUAUAAAAUAAAAAUAUAAAAACAGGGAGUAAUAAUUAUUAAGGAGUCUCAACAUGAUAAAGGCUAGAUAUUUAUGCUAACACUUAAUUAGUUCCAUAAGCUUUGCUGUCUAUUUGAGCUCCGCAAAAUUUAAGAAUCAAGAAGACUAGCAGACGGAGGACAUUCUAGACGCUGUCAGAAUGCUGCUGACUUUCAAAUACACCUCUGCCACCUGCUAGCUACAUCAAGAGAAAUUACGUCAAAAUUCAGCUUGGGGGAGAGCAUCCCCAUUUAUCCCGCUAAGUAUUUCUAUCUUUCUAUCUAUAUUUAUACUUAUACUAUAUUAAAAUACAUAAACUAAAACCAAAUAAAGAUUUUAUGCUUAUAUAUAUCUCUUUUGCUUAGUAUGUUUAAUAAAUAAAUAAAGUGGCUAUGCUAAUCUGUAUCUUAAUAAUAAAACUCAAGCAUGGUUAUAAUGAAUAGUUGCUCUGCCUAAUUUGCACAUUUUAAGUUCUCUCUCAAGUUUAGACAUAACUGUUAUAAUUUAAAGCUUGCUCUAGACCUAAACUUGUGGGAUGAAAACUUGAUUUGAAGUCUAAGUUGUUAACGGAUACGAUAUGGGAAGGUUGAGCUGCUAUUUAUCUGUCUAGAGAUGCUAGAAUUCUGGAGAAUUUUAUCUUUGAAAAUCUUUAAAAUGUUGCAUGCUGAGUUCCUGUAUGAUGAGAGUUUAAAUUCCUACCACAGCCAUAUAUACAUGCUUGCUAGAAUUUGAGCCACACAUUUACUAUUUACUGCUUAUGAGCAUUGAGUGUGGUCAAGCUGUGUAGACCCUUAGGAGCUUGUCAUGUGGUUAAAUCAAGAUUUCACUUGCACGUUCACUCAUAUAUGCUACUUCUAUUCUGGAAGUACCAUCCACAUAUAUCCAUCCAUUUCCAUCUCCAGAACCACCUAAAAAUAUUCUACUCCUAAUCCGAGAGAGAAUAAUCAAAAAUAUUUCUGUUUUUCCCUUGUGAAAUAAAUGCUCAAGUUAUCUUGUUACUACCACUUGCUAUAUUAUCUCAAGAGAUGAGUGCUCUAAAAAAAAGAAGAGAAAAAGAGAUACGAGGAAAUAAAAAGGAGCAAGAGCUCGGAACGUCGAAAGAAAAGAAAAGUGAGACGAGAGGUAAAAAUGGACAAGUGUGCGACAGUAGAAUUAGGGGUAUGAGAUACCCACCUGAGAGGAAAGAAAAUGAAGAGCAUCUCAUUCUCCUCACUAUUCAAAAAGCAUAGAAGGUAUAUAUCCCCUCAAAGAGCAAAAGUAGAAUUAGACUUUCACCACUGUUAUCACCAUCAUCACCAUACACCAUUCAUUCGCCACACAUGCACAUCUUGAUUUGACUUAUUGAUUUGUUUCUUUGGAUCCAUGGUUUGACUAUACAAUAAAUGUCUUGUAAGUAUGUAUACUUUAUCUCCCACCUAUGAGCUCCAGAUAUUAAAGCCGUAAUAGAGUAGGGUGAGAGAUAAGAUAAUGUCACUAUGCUUCAUACCACAAAUACUACAUAUCUUGAGAGAAGGCAUAUACCAUCACUGCCUUGGUAAGGAUCCAUAAAUACCACAAAAGAGAGAUUUGAGAGAAUCAUACAAGGAAUCUCUGAGUUUUAUUUGAAAAUCUGUAAAAACGCCAGAGCUAUAGCUGAUCAAGAAUAAGAGACAUGGCACUUGACUAGACUGUUCUAUCUUUUAACUACUCAAGACAGAAGUGACGGUUACAAGUCCCAUGGUGAAAGGUAAAGUAAGUAAGUUUUAAGUCUUGACAGUUUACUCUAACUCAGAGAUGAGAUCUUAUUUAAAAACAUGUGUGCCGUCAAUUUUUUUUUAAGAUAUUGCAACAACUUCUAAUCCAUUGCUGAGUCUAUCUUUGCUCAGGGACGAGCAAGAGGUAAGCUUGGGGGAGUUUGUUGACGGUCCUUAAGUAUCAAAUUUAAUAAUCAAAUAAACAAAGAAAAGGAUCCAAAUGAAAUCAAUAUCUAGACUUAGGGUUUUAUCUGACAGAAUUCCACGAGUUUUGGUGUUUGUCUAUUUCUGCAGGGGGUUAUCAGGAAAUACGGAAGAAAGGCCCACACGUCGGGAUUACAUAGAGAUAUUAACGUGCCGCGCAAUUAUCUUACAUCUAGAAGACUCCAGAAGCCACGAGACCGAAGUGGAGGCGAAACGGGGCCAGAGGCAGGGCGCCCGCCCUCCUGCCCUGGGCGCCCGCCCCCUCCCUGAGUCCAAUCAGGACUCUGCUUCGUGGGAGAUCUCCAUUGACCUAAAGGAUGAAUCUAAACCAUACAAUCUAUGUCGGUUUGAUCCAACGGCCCAUAUUCACUUGAAGGGACUAUAAAACCAGACCCCCUGGCCCCUGGAGGAGGGAGCCUCUCAACCCUAAUUCAUUAUUCUCAAGGGAGAAGAAGCCCCUGAUCAAGAUUAGAGCCACCACAUCAAUUAGACAUCAAGAUUAGCAUAGCUACAUAGGAUUAGAACUAGAAGGAGUCAAUCUUCGAUUGGUUUCCUGAUCUGUCAAGAGGAUUCUUGGUAAUUCUCUAAUUGUGCUAUUAAUUGCUUUCUAAUUAUCUUUGUUCUUCAAUAUUAUGAAUAUGACUUUGUUCUACUUCAAUAUAUUGCUUAUGACUUUGCUCUACUUGCUUGUAUUCAAGAUUAUAUUGUUUUUAGUUUAUCAUAGUUAUGUACUUCGCUUAGUUAGAUUGGAUCUAUAUACAUGCUUAGGAUCAUAUAGCGUUUAUCCAUCGGAUCCAUGGGUAAAUGAUAGAUAUUGUGUAGGCGUGGUGCUUAUACCGUAUUUAUCUGCGAUUGUACCCAAUAUGCCAGAUCGUGGGGUAGUUCGUGAUAGUGACAGCUUCAUUGAUUCUUAUAUAGUCCCCCUCUCGUGUAUUGUGCUAGAAGAGCAACAUUAUUACAGGGGAGUGAUUGCUAUGUUUCUCAUUUACCUUGCUAAUAUCACUAUGCAUGGGCGUAGUCUUGUCUCACAAUGAUUGCUAAGUAUGCUUGCACUAUCUACGAUAAUGCUAGACUAUAUAGUUGAGAAUAACUCAGGGAAUAUUCUUGUAGUUCGUUCUAAUACCAUGCUAAUGACUUUCUAGAGUAUCUAAUUGAGGUUCUUAUCAUAUUUAUAUGUGGCUGAUCAGAUUAAUUAUCUUUGUCACUAUUUAUUACUUCAUAUAUCUUUUAUGUGACACUUACCCCUGUAUGAAAGAGUUAGAUAAUUGUUCUCAAUUAUACUUGCAAUGAUAGAUACUCAAUCUCAUAUUCUAUUCUAUAAUCAAUAUUGAUGAUUGCUAAUCCCUUCCCAGUGGUAAAAAUAUAAAUAACGAUACCUGGAAAACCUCCCGGUUAAAAUGCUACAUCGGUAUUAAUCUGUGCGCUUGCAGAUCCCAUUCAUUAUUUAUUUGGAAGAGCAAUUGCAUAUUUCAAUUCCGCGUCUCUCAUAUCAUGCUGGGGAUGACAACUUGGCUUAAGUGGAGUGAGGGAUAGGUUUGGCAUUUUUGGCACCCUUACUAGAUUUAGAGAACUUAGUCUACUUUUGGUAAUGAUGUUAAGAAUACCCAACAGCUAUGAACCCUCAUGAUAAGCUCUCACAUGGAAAUGAUGAAUAGUUGCUCUGCCAUGACUAGUUCUCGAAAUUGAAAUCUCUCUCAAGCUUAGGUAUGACUGUUUUUAAUUAAGAUUUGCUCUAAACCUGAACUUGUGGGAAGAGUACUUGAUGUUGAUAUUUGGUAACGCAAUAAGGAAACGAUCCGCAAGCGCACGGAUAUCGGUGAGCAUUUCACCCGGGAGGUUAUCCAGAGUUAUCGUAUUUAUAUUUUUACCACUGGGAGAAAGGGUGCAUCUGACUAACCAAAUCUAUUGCUACUAUCCCUUUAGGCUACAAAGAAUGUCUCUCGAUGUGAGUGAUAAAUAGAGAAGACUGCAACCGUAGUCUCCUUCUAACCUUGGUAAGGAUAAUCUUACUGUUCUAAUGGGGAGGCUAACGGAAUCUAGACACCACAAAGGAUGUUCAACCCGCACCUAUAAACCCUAUCCUUCCUGCUAACGAGAUGUGUAACUCGGAAUUGUCACGUUCCUCACUACUACCACGGUCCAGCUAGUCAGGGAAUAUCUAUGAGUACCCCAGCCUAAACACCAUGUUUACGCCAGUAAUGAUUACUCUAAACUCUACGCGAAGAGAUUAAAGUAAACUCAUAAACCAUAAGAACAAUAAAACAAGAACUUACUAGAAUUUAGAAGUCGAAAUACUGAAGAAUCCUAGGAGCAAGCUUCGGGUUAGGAGAACUUGAUCCCGUAGGUACAAGCUUGGAGUAGACACCGACAGGCCGGGCUUCCUCCAAUCAACACCUCCACUCUAUCUCUCUCAAUCUAGUAGAAACUAGAAGAUCUAUUUCUACUUUACAUUGGUUGCUAAGCCUAAAAAGAAAUAUUAAUUAGAGAAGAGGUUUUCCUUCGAGGGCACCCCUCAGUCUCUAUGAUAAUUUCUUCAUGUCUUCUCCAGGGGCCAGGGGGUCUCCUUAUAUAGUCCUCCCCUUCUAUGCGUUUUUGGGUCGGUAGGCGAUGUGGUACUACGUUAUUCUGGAUCCAAUAGGUCGGUGGAGAUCUCCCGAGAGAAAGAGUCCUGAUUGGGCUCAACAGGUGGGCGGGCGCCCAAGGAAACUGGGCGGGCGGCCAGGUCCUGGCCCCGUUUCGCCUCCGCUUCGGUCUCGUGGCUUCUGGAGUCUUCUAGAUGGUAGAAAAUUGCGCGGUGCGUUGAUAUCUCUAUGUAAUCCUGACAUGUGGGCCUUUCUUCCUUAUUUCCUGAUAACCCCCUGCAAAAAUAGACAAACACCAAAACUCGUGGAAUUCUGUCAGAUAAAACCCUAAGUCUAGAUGUUGAUUUCAUUUGGAUCCUUUUCUUUGUUUAUUUGAUAAUUAAAUUUGAUACUUAAGGACCGUCAACAAACUCCCCCAAGCUUACCUCUUGCUCGUCCCUGAGCAAGGAUAGACUCAGCUAUGGAUCAGAAGUUGUUGCAAUAUCUUAAAAAUUUGACGGUACACAUGAUUUUAAAUAAGAUCUCAUCUCUGAGUUAGAGUAAACUGUCAAGAAUUAAAACUUACUUACUUUACCUUUCACCAUGGGACUUGUAACCGUCACUUCUGUCUUGAGUAGUUAAAAGAUAGAACAGUCUAGCCAAGUGCCAUGUCUCUUAUUCUUGAUCAACUAUAGCUCUGGGGUUUUUGCAGAUUUUCAAAUAAAACUUAGAGAUUCCUUGUAUGACUCUCUCAUAUCUCGCUUUUGUGGUAUUUCUGGAUCCCUACCAAGGCAUUGAUGGUAUAUGCCUUCUCUCAAGAUAUGUGGUAUUUAUGGUAUAAGGCAUAGUGACAUUGCCUUCUCUCUCACCCUACUCAAAUAAGGCUUGAUAUCUGGAGCUCAUAGGUGGGAGACAGUUAAUACAUACUUACAAGACAUUUAUUGCAUAGUCAAACCAUGGAUCCAGAGAAACAAGUCAAUAAGUCAAAUCAAGAUGUGCAUGUGUGGCGAGUGAAUGGUGUAUGGUGAUGAUGGUGAUAACAAUGGAGAAAGUCUAAUUCUACUUUUGCUCUCUUGAGGGGAUACAUACCUUCCUUGCUUUUUGAAACUUUAUGAGGAGAAUGAGAUGCUCUUCUUUUUCUUUCCUCUCAGGUGGGUAUCUUGUACCCCUAAUUCUACUGUCGGACACUUGUCCAUUUUUACCUCUCGUCUCACUUUUUCUUUCUUUCGAGGUUCCGGGCACUUGCCCCUUUUUAUUUCCUCGUUUAUAUAUUUUUUUUUCUUUUUUUUUCUUUCUUUUUUUUCAGAGCACUCAUCUCUUGAGAUAAUAUAGCAAGUGGUAGUAACCAAAAUAUUUGGAGCAUUUAUUUCACAGGAAAUAACAGGGAUAGGAAAAAUGUUUUUGACUAUUCUCUCCCGGAUUAGGAGUAGAAUAUUUUUGGGUGAUUCUGGAGAUGGAAAUGGAUGGAUAUAUGUGGAUGGUACUUCCGGAGUAGAAGUAGCAUAUAUGAGUGAACGUGCAAGUGAAUCUUGAUUUAACCACAUGACAAGCUCCUAAGGGUCUACACAGCUUGACCACACUCAAUGCUCAUAAGCAGUAAAUACUAAAUGUGUGGCUCAAAGUCUAGCAAGCAUGUAUAUAUGGCUGUGGUAGGAAUUUAAACUCUCAUCAUACAGGAACUCAUCAUGCAAUAUUUUAAAAAAUUUUCAAGAUAAAAUUUUCCAUAAUUCUAGCAUCUCUAGAAACAGAUAAACAGCAGCUCAACCUUCCCAUAUCAUAUCCGUUAACAACUUGGAUUUCAGAUCAAGUUUUCAUCCCACAAGUUUAGAUCUAGAGCAAGCUUUAAAUUAUAACAGUUAUGUCUAAACUUGAGAGGGAACUUCAAAAUUGCAAAUUAGGCAGAGCAACUAUUCAUCAUAUCCAUGCUAGAGUUUUAUUAUUAAGAUUCAGAUUAGCAUAGCCACUUUAUUUAUUUAUUAAACAUACUAAGCAAAAGAUAUAUAUAAGCACAAAAUCUUUAUUUGGUUUUUCAUAGUUGAUGUAUUUUAAUAUUAUAACAUAAUAUAAGUAUAAAGAUAGGUAGAAAUACUUAGCGAGAAUAAUGGGGGUGCUUUCCCCCAAGCUGAAUUUUGACGUAAUUUCUCUUGAUGUAGCUAGCAGGUGGCAGAGGUGUAUUUGAAAGUCAGCAGCAUUCUGACAGCGAUUAGAAUGUCCUCCGUCUGCUAGUCUUCUCGAUUCUUAAAUUCUGUGGAGCUCAAAUAGACAACAAAGCUUGUGGAACUAAUUAAGUGUUAGCAUAAAUAUCUAGCCUUCAUCAUGUUGAGCUUCCUUAAUAAAUGUUAUUUAUUUAGCAGGAUCAUACACUUAUUAUUAUUAUAUAUUUUUUUAUUGUAAGAUGAAAACUUAUUUAUUUUAUUUUUUAUGCCACCACAGUGAAUGUACUUAUGGGUUUUAUGCCAUGAGCAUACUCACAUGGGGCUUACUAUUUUUUAACAUUUUUAUUUUCUUUUCAAGAUAGCAUGAACCUGAUUCACUAAGCAAAUUAUAAUUGAAUAAUUGAAAGGAAAGGGUAACUACCAAGUUUACCUCUUGGCAAGGCGUUCGGUAUUUUUAAGUACUCCGAACGGGACUCUCUGUUUUCUCAGUCGUCCUGGGAUUCGCUAGGUGGCGUAGUCAGUGAUUCCGACGACGCCUCUCUUCGUGUAUAACUAUCUUCUCCCUCCACACCUGACUCGGUGCUACGGUCUCCUCAGGACAGUUCUGUUCAAGCUGUAUGUCUUCAGUCUUUAUCACUUCUCCUUCGUAGUCUAUCCAUCCAUUCUUGAUGAUUUGCCUCCUCUGGUUGCGGUUGCGUCGUCUUCUUGUCCUGACCUGCUUAGAGUCUUCAACUAUAUAGUUAUGGUCAGUAAAAUAGUUGCGUACCUUCUCAGAGGGGAAGUACAUGUGGACUUCUCCGAUUCCAAUGUAGAUGAUUGCUCUGAUAGUGUUGAGGAACGGUCUUCCAAGGAUGGUGGGUGGAUCAUAUUCGUCUUCUCCCAUGUCAAUGACCUGAAAAUCAUCUUGGAGCUGAAUAUAUUGGUUGUAGGGGCAUGGUUCCAUGCAGGAGCUGAUAAGUGACUGCGGCCAUUAUGUUGUCGUCAGAUCCGGUGUCGUAGACUGUCUUCUGAAAAGAGUAUCCAUUGAUUGCGCACUCGAUGCUUGGAACACCAGGGUCGUCCUUCUUGAUCAAGAAAGGUGACUUGAGUCGACGAUGUUGACCUCUUCCGACAAGGAUUGAAUGUUUUAAGUCUUCUGGACAAGACUUUCCACCAUCUUCAUCCUUUAGGUGCAUCAAUUGAUUAGGUGUGGACCUUGACGUCUGCACCUCUUGAUACGGUGUUACCCAUGUUCUUCUUUGCCCAGUAGUUCGAAGUAUGGUGUUGGCAAUAUCCUGCUCACUGUGUUUGUGCUCAUAGAUCCAGGUCCUUCACUUGGUGGAGUCUGGGAGUUGUAAAACUCCUCCAUGUUUUGCUUGAAGUGUACCUUACUUGAAGAGUGACGGUACAGUAUCACCUUGUGGAAGCUUUCCUUUCUUAGCGGUUGUGCAUCGUGUUUGUGGCACCCUCCAUGAAUCAUCUCUUAUGAGCCACGUCUUUCUUGUGCAAAUUGUUAAACUUCAUGUGUCACUUUCUUCAUCUCCAAUGCGAGUUUAUCUCAGGACUUCCCAGGUUGAUAUUGAAAGUUUUCCUGCAGGGGUUAGUCCAACAAAAUAUCCCAUAUCUACUAUAGCAUACUAUCGGCUUAAAAAUCAACCUAGACACCAUGUCUAAUUUGAUUUAGAAGGGCAUUUUAACCUAAGCACCAUGCUUAAUUUAAAAUCCCUUGGAAGUAAGAUCAUCAUUCCUAAACUAAGCACCAUGCUUAAUUAAGAGAUAAAUGAAACUAUUCCAAACCUAAACAUAUACUAAAGCAAAUAAAGGUAGCAUGAGAGCAUUUAUAGAGAUCUACUUAAGUGGAGAUGAAGUAGUGUAAUUAGUAUUUAACAAAUUGAGCAUGUCUCAAAGGUAAGGACAACCAACGUAGCAACAUGGCAAAAGAUGUUUUUUAUGUAAAGUACUCCCCCAAGCUUGAAUUUUACAAAAUUCAAGUUUGGAUGAAUUUAAUUCAAUGUUGUGUGAUGGUUGGUUGGACAUACCCUGUGCUUGUCAUUCAUCAGAUCUUCUUGCUCCAAUCCUGGAAAGGUUAGUGACAAGAAUACCCAAAGGAAUAUUUCUACAAUUAUCUUUAUAUGCUCAAUACACAAGGCAAUGUUGCAAAUAAUUAGAAGUUCAUGUUAUGAUCUGAUAAGUGUUUGUUUUAGGACACUAAGCUUGUCCUUGGGAAACCAUCAAGUUAUGUUGGUGAAGUGGUUUCCCCUCCAACACCUACCUAUAUCAAGUUCAACUCAACGAGAUCUGCAAUAUUUAUUAUAGACAUAUGCAUCGACAACCGCCCUUUUAAAGUUUUUAUAAAUGAAGAGGAAGAGGGGGUUGGAGAUCUCAAAUGUGGUAAGGAUGGAGAGACAAAUUGAUUGGAGAGAUGUUUUAUAUGAGCAAGGACUGGGUGAGGUAUUUAUGGAAUAACUUCCAUGCUCACUGUUGUUCCUCUCAUUCUCAAACUCCAAGGAUGAUUCUUCAUGAAUGCUUAAAAUUCCUCUAGGAUUGUCUCUCAAGUUUGUUUUAUCUAUCCAUUCAAUGUGAUAGCACAUGGAUUUUUAAUGCCCUCUAUCCAUUGAUGUUGCUCUUCUCGAUCCUCCUUCUUAUGCAUGGGAUGUCUAGAGAGAUUCAUAGGAUUAUCGGGAGGUUCAAGAGAAAAAGCAUAGUAGAAUUUAUUAAGCUCAAGGAUGGGUUGGAUAGCCGAAUUAUGGGAUUGAAAUGUUUGGAAAUCGGCUAUUGAAACUUCCUCUCCUUGUAUGGGAGAUGAUUCCUUCUCUAUCUCUAAGAUUUUUCUAUGAAGACUAGUGCAAGAAGGAUGUCUAUGAAUGAAGACAUACCUUCCUUCACUAACAGAUAAAGAAAGAAAGACUCUACCAAAGGUUAUAUGACUAAGACCAAUGUGAAAAUAUCUAGGAAAAACAUGGUCUUGUAGGGCUAGGUCUAAACCAGAAUUUAUAGAAAAAUUAACAGAUUCCCUAGGUGUAGCUAAAAGUGCAUUAUCUUUUUGAUUAAAAGAUAGGACCUCGGCUAUAGAAAAGGGUUGGUUUUGACCUAUUGCAAUCAACUCCGGACACAGAUCAUAAUUAGGGGCAGGACGUGUUGACUCCCAUGGUCUAUGGCUGGUCUCUGAAGGUGCAAAGAAUUUAAUAAUAGGUAUGGAAUUUGAGUUAUCCACAAAGAUAAAAAUAAAAAGAUAAAAGAAUAAAAGUAUAAAAGUAUAAUACAAGAUAAUAGCAAGAUUCAAAGUUAUCUCAGCAAACCGUCUUUCUCCCCGGCAACGGCGCCAGAAAUGCUUGUUGAUAUUUGGUAACGCAAUAAGGAAACGAUCCGCAAGCGCACGGAUAUCGGUGAGCAUUUCACCCGAGAGGUUAUCCAGAGUUAUCGUAUUUAUAUUUUUACCACUGGGAGAAAGGGUGCAUCUGACUAACCAAAUCUAUUGCUACUAUCCCUUUAGGCUACAAAGAAUGUCUCUCGAUGUGAGUGAUAAAUAGAGAAGACUGCAACCGUAGUCUCCUUCUAACCUUGGUAAGGAUAAUCUUACUGUUCUAAUGGGGAGGCUAACGGAAUCUAGACACCACAAAGGAUGUUCAACCCGCACCUAUAAACCCUAUCCUUCCUACUAACGAGAUGUGAUCUGCAAAGGUAAUUCGGAAUUGUCACGUUCCUCACUACUACCACGGUCCAGCUAGUCAGGGAAUAUCUAUCAGUACCCCAGCCUAAACACCAUGUUUACGCCAGUAAUGAUUACUCUAAACUCUACGCGAAGAGAUUAAAGUAAACUCAUAAACCAUAAGAACAAUAAAACAAGAACUUACUAGAAUUUAGAAGUCGAAAUACUGAAGAAUCCUAGGAGCAAGCUUCGGGUUAGGAGAACUUGAUCUCGUAGGUACAAGCUUGGAGUAGACACCGACAGGCCGGGCUUCCUCCAAUCAACACCUCCACUCUAUCUCUCUCAAUCUAGUAGAAACUAGAAGAUCUAUUUCUACUUUACAUUGGUUGCUAAGCCUAAAAAGAAAUAUUAAUUAGAGAAGAGGUUUUCCUUCGAGGGCACCCCUCAGUCUCUAUGAUAAUUUCUUCAUGUCUUCUCCAGGGGCCAGGGGGUCUCCUUAUAUAGUCCUCCCCUUCUAUGCAUUUUUGGGUCGGUAGGCGAUGUGGUACUAUGUUAUUCUGGAUCCAAUAGGUCGGUGGAGAUCUCCCGAGAGAAAGAGUCCUGAUUGGGCUCAACAGGUGGGCGGGCGCCCAAGGAAACUGGGCGAGCGCCCAGGUCCUGGCCCCGUUUCGCCUCCGCUUCGGUCUCGUGGCUUCUGGAGUCUUCUAGAUGGUAGAAAAUUGCGCGGUGCGUUGAUAUCUCUAUGUAAUCCUGACAUGUGGGCCUUUCUUCCUUAUUUCCUGAUAACCCCCUGCAGAAAUAGACAAACACCAAAACUCGUGGAAUUCUGUCAGAUAAAACCCUAAGUCUAGAUGUUGAUUUCAUUUGGAUCCUUUUCUUUGUUUAUUUGAUAAUUAAAUUUGAUACUUAAGGACCGUCAACACUUGAUGUAAAGUCUAAGUCGUUAACGGAUAUGAUAUGGGAAGGUUGAGCUGCUGUUUAUCUGUUCCUAGAGAUGCUAGAAUUCUGGAGAAUUUUAUCUUUGAAAAUCUUUAAAAUGUUGCAUGAUGAGUUCCUGUAUGAUGAGAGUUUAAAUUCCUACCACAGCCAUAUAUACAUGCUUGCUAGACUUUGAGCCACACAUUUACUUUUUACUCCUUAUGAGCAUUGAGUGCGGUCAAGCUGUGUAGACCCUUAGGAGCUUGUCAUGUGGUUAAAUCAAGAUUCACUUGCACGUUCACUCACACAUGCUGCUUCUACUCCGGAAGUACGCAUCCACAUAUAUCCACCCAUUUCCAUCUCUAGAAUCACCUAAAAAUAUUCUACUCCUAACCCGGGAGAGAAUAGCUAAAAACAUUUCUGUUUUUCCUUGUGAAAUAAACGCUCAAGUUAUCUUGGUUACUACCACUUGCUAUAUUAUUUCAAGAGAUGAGUGCUUUAAAAUAAGAGAAAAAAGAAAAAAAUAUGAGGAAAUAAAAGGGGCAAGUGCCCGGAACCUCGAAAGAAAACAGAAAGUGAGACGAGAGGUAAAAAUGGACAAGUGUCUGUUGACGGUCCUUAAUGCUCACAAUUAACCAUCAACUAAUCAUAGAAAAGGAUCCAAAUGCAACCAACACCUAGACUUAGGCUUUUAUCUGACAGAAUUCCACAAGUUUUGGUGUUUGUCUAUUUCUGCAGGGGGUUAUCAGGAAAUACGGAAGAAAGGCCCACACGUCGGGUUUACAUAGAGAUAUUAACGUGUCGCGCAAUUUUCUAUCAUCUAGAAGACUCCAGAAGCCACGGGAACGAACGGGAAGGAAAUCGGGCUCGGAGGCAGGGCGCCCGCCCAACUCUCCUGGGCGCCCGCCCAGCUACAGUGCCCAAUCAGGAUACGUUUCGCGGACAACGCUCCACCGACAUAAAGGAUCAAGGAAAACCAUGUGAUUAAUGUCGGUUUGAUCCGACGGCCCAGAUUCACUUGAAGGGACUAUAAAACCAGACCCCCUGGCCCCUGGAGAUCAUACCUCUUCUACAGAAUCAAAGCUAGGGUUUUAAUUCUUCAUCCAAGUAGAGAGGAUCCCUCUAGUUCUUCUAGUUCUACCUCUAGUUCAUCUGGAUCUAGUUCUAGUUCAUCUAGUUCUAGUUCUAGUUCCUCUAGUUCUAGUUCUAGUUAGUUCUAGUUGUAAUCUAGAAAAUAGGGAGAGAGAAGAGGAGAGCGGAGGAGGAGGAGCCGGAUCUGUCGGAUCUUCCUCAACAUUGUACUUUUGCAGCAACUGGUUCGUUCUUCAUCGUUCUCCAGGUUCUUCAAUUCAUAAUUCCUGAGUUCUCUAAUUACUUUUAUUUACAUUCAAGUUAUUUAUUGGAUUCCCGCCUGCAUCAAGUGCUCUAGUCUUUGAAACAUUAGAGUAGUAAUUAAUAGAUUAGACGUGGUGUUUAGUCUUGCGAUUACCUGGAAUUGCACCCAAUCCUGCGGAUUGUUGUGGUAGCCUUAGGGUAGUGACAGCCUUAACGGUCGACGUAUUCCACCACGUUCGGAUCGGUGUUUGUAGGACCGUAGUCAGACCUUCCUAGCCGCCUUCUCAUCUCUUUCCGUGGUUAGUGCUCUGAUGUCCCGAUAUAGAUGAUCUUGAGGUAAUUCUUGAUUCUUAGAUCAACUAGAGAACUCUCAGGAAACUUCCUCUCUUCCCACCAAAAAAUAAUCAUUUAGUUAUCCUUGGGCGAUCUUGGAUCUUAAUUAGUACACUCACGUUCUCUGUGGAAAAUCGAUACUCUGGAAUACUCCCGGGUGAAGGCUACAUCGGUAUCCGUGCGCUUGCGGAUUUUUCUGUUUGCGUUUAAAAUACCCAACAGUGUCCGACAGUAGAAUUAGGGGUACAAGAUACCCACCUGAGAGAAAAGAAAAAAAAAGAAAAGAAAAUAUAGAGCAUCUCGUUCCCCUCAAAAAGUUUCAAAAGAGCAAGAAAGGUAUGUAUCCCCUCAAAAGAGCAAAAGUAGAAUUAGACUUUCACCAUUGUUAUCACCAUUAUCACCAUAAACCAUUCAUUCGCCACACAUGCACAUCUUGAUUUGACUUAUUGACUUGAUCUUUUGGAUCCAUGGUUUGACUAUGCAAUAAAUGUCUUGUAAGUGUGUAUUAUCUGUCUCCCACCUAUGAGCUCCAGAUAUCAAAAGCCUUAUUAGAGUAGGGUGAGAGAGAAGACAAUGUCACUAUGCCUCAUACCAAAAAUACCACAUACUUUGAGAGAAGGCAUACACCAUUACUGCCUUGGCAAGGAUCCAGAAAUACCACAAAAGAGAGACUAGAGAGAGUCAUACAAGGAAUUUCUGAGUUUUAUUUGAAAAUCUGCAAAAACUCCAGAGCUAUAGUUAAUCGAAGAAAAAGAGACAUGGCGCUUGACUAGACCGUUCUAUCUUUUAACUACUCAAGACACAAGUGACGGUUGCAAGCCCCAUGGUGGAAGGAAAAAUGAGUAAAUUUAAAUCUUAACAGUUUACCCUAACCCAGAGAUGAGAUCUUGUUUGAACGCAUGUAUUGAAACCACUGCAGAAAUUCUUGAGUUCAUCUUUGCUCAGGGACGAGCAAAGGUUAAGCUUGGGGGAGCUUGUUGACGGUCCUUAAUGCUCACAUUUAACCAUCAACUAAUCAUGGAAAAAGACUUAUAUGCAGCCAACACCUAGACUUAGGGUUUUAUCUGAUAGAAUUCCACGAGUUUUGGUGUUUGUCUAUUUCUGCAGGGGGUUAUCAGGAAAUAUGAAAGAAAGGCCCACACGUCGGGUUUACAUAGAGAUAUUAACGUGCCACGCAAUUUUCUACCAUCUAGAAGACUCCAGAAGCCACGGGAACGAACGGGAGGCCGAUCGGGCCCGGCUGCAGGGAGCCUGCCCAAGUCCCUUGGGUGCCCCACCAGCUACAGUAACCAAUCAGCUUCAACUUCGCGGAUCGUGCUCCACCGACCUAAGGGACCAAGAAAAACCGUGCGAUUAAUGUCGGUUUGAUCCGACGGCCCAGAUUCAUCUGAAAAGACUAUAUAAGCAAGGCCCCCUGGCCCCUGGAGAGCAUACCUCUUCUACAGAAUCAAAGUUAGGGUUUCAAUUCUUCAUCCAAGUAGAGAGGAUCCCUAUAGUUCUUCUAGUUCUACCUCUAGUUCAUCUAGUUCUAGUUCUAGUUUAUCUAGUUCUAGUUCUAGUUCCUCUAGUUCUAGUUCUAGUUAGUUCUAGUAGUAAUCUAGAAAAUAGGGAGAGAGAAGAGGAGAGCGG
rnacentral:lncRNA from 1 species